ACCAUGAAGUUGGAGUUGCUAGUAAUCGCGGAUCAGCAUGCCGCGGUGAAUACGUUCCCGGGCCUUGUACACACCGCCCGUCACACCAUGGGAGCCGGUAAUACCCGAAGCCUGUGAGCUAACCGCAAGGAGGCAGCAGUCGAAGGUGGGGUUGAUGAUUGGGGUGAAGUCGUAACAAGGUACC
rnacentral:rRNA from 1 species